AGGGCGUAUGGGGAAUGCCUAGGCUCUCAGAGGCGAAGAAAGACGUGCCAAGCUGCGAAAAGCUACGGGGAUCUGCUGAGGAGAAUUGAUCCGUAGAUGUCUGAAUGGGGCAACCUGGUAUAUUGAAGAUAUAUCGACCCGCAAGGGUAGCGAACCCGGUGAACUGAAACAUCUAAGUAACUGGAGGAAGAGAAAAUAACUAAUGAUUCCCUAAGUAGUGGCGAGCGAACAGGGAAGAGCCCAAACCGCAAAUGUCAAGGCAUUUGCGGGGUUGUAGGACCGCAUUUAGUAGAAAUAAUUGAACUGAAACAGUCUGGGAAGGCUGGCCAUAGCGGGUGAGAGCCCCUUACAGGUAAGAUUAUGAUAUGAGCGGUAUCCUGAGUAGGGCGGGGUCGGAGAAGCCCCGUUUGAAACUGCCGGCACCAUCCGGUAAGGCUAAAUACUCCUGAGAGACCGAUAGUGAACCAGUACUGUGAAGGAAAGGUGAAAAGUACCCUGAAUAAGGGGGUGAAAUAGAACCUGAAACCAUACGCUUACAAGCGGUCGGAGCCCUUAAGUGGGGUGACGGCGUGCCUUUUGCAUAAUGAUCCUACGAGUUACUCCUCACUGGCAAGGUUAAGCUUUUUUAGAAGCGUAGCCGGAGCGAAAGCGAGUCUGAACAGGGCGCGUAGUCAGUGGGGGUAGACGCGAAACCUUGUGAUCUACCCAUGGUCAGGAUGAAGUGUCAGUAACAUGACAUGGAGGUCCGAACUGGUAAACGUUGAAAAGUUUUCGGAUGAACUGUGGGUAGGGGUGAAAGGCUAAUCAAACUGGGAAAUAGCUCGUACUCCCCGAAAUGUAUUUUGGUACAGCGUCGGGGUAAAGUUUAGCGGAGGUAGAGCUACCAAUAGGACUAGGGGGAGUCAAAUCCUACCAAAUCCUGAUGAACUCCGAAUGCCGCUAAAUAUACCCGGCAGUGAGGGCUUGGGUGCUAAGGUCCAAGUCCGAGAGGGAAAGAACCCAGACCAACAGCUAAGGUCCCUAAAUCUAUCCUAAGUUGAACAAAGGAGGUUCAGUUGCAGAGACAGCCAGGAUGUUUGCUUGGAAGCAGCAAUUCAUUUAAAGAGUGCGUAACAGCUCACUGGUCGAGCGACAGAGCAUCGAUAAUAAACGGGCAUCAAGGGUAGUACCGAAGCUUUGGAUUUAGACAUUAAGUUGUUUAAGUGGUAGGGGAGCAUUCCAAGGUCGGUGAAGGCGGGGCGUCAGCCCUGCUGGAGAGCUUGGAAAAGCAAAUGUAGGAAUAAGUAACGAUAAUAAAGGUGAGAAUCCUUUACACCGAUAGACUAAGGUUUCCUGAUCAACGUUCGUCGGAUCAGGGUUAGUCGGGACCUAAGGCAAACCCGUCGUAGUGGCGGGGUAGUCGAUGGACAACUGGUUAAUAUUCCAGUACUUGUGUAUACUGCUAUGGAGAGACGGAGUAGUGACAGGUUCGCGUGGUGACGGAAUACCACGUUAAAGCCAGUAGAUAUAUUCGGGGUAGGCAAAUCCGCCCUGAAUGUCGAAGGUGAUAGUACAGCAAGGCUUCGGUUGCGCUGAUAGUGACCGUAAACAGACUUCCAAGAAAAUCUUCUAUGCUCUAGGUAUACACGACCCGUACCGCAAACCGACACAGGUAGUCAAGGAGAGAAUCCUAAGGUGCGCGAGUGAUUCACGGCUAAGGAACUCGGCAAAUUAACCCUGUAACUUCGGGAGAAGGGGUGCUUCCUCUAGCGAUAGAGAAGCCGCAGUGAAAAGUCUCAGGCGACUGUUUAACAAAAACACAUGGCUCUGCGAAAUCGUAAGAUUAAGUAUAGGGCCUGACACCUGCCCGGUGCCGGAAGGUUAAGAGGGGGGCUUAGCGUAAGCGAAGGUCUGAAUCGAAGCCCCGGUAAACGGCGGCCGUAACUAUAACGGUCCUAAGGUAGCGAAAUUCCUUGUCGGGUAAGUUCCGACCUGCACGAAUGGUGUAACGAUCUGAGAACUGUCUCAGCCGUGAGCUCGGUGAAAUUGUAGUAGCGGUGAAGAUGCCGCUUACCCGUCACGGGACGGAAAGACCCCGUGCACCUUUACUAUAGCUUUGCAUUGACUCUGGGUAAAUGAUGUGUAGGAUAGGUGGGAGGC
rnacentral:rRNA from 1 species